CCACACAGGGCAGGGGUGAAAUGUUGCA
rnacentral:sRNA from 1 species